rnacentral:lncRNA from 1 species
AUCCAUUCAGAGCAGCGAUGUCAGCAGCAGCUACGACCGGAAGUAGCUCAGCCCGAGGCCUGGUCUUCAUCAUCAGCCUCGUGUGCCUGGUUUGCGUUGUUAACGCAGACCAAGCGAAGGAACGACUGGCGGAGAUGAGGGAGCAACUCACUAAAGUAGAAGAACUCAUAGAGCACUGGAAGGUGAAAGUCGAGACAGAGCGCAUAAUCAACCUUGAGAUGAUGGAUGGAAAUGACGCCAGGAUGAAAUGUAUCAGACAGCAUUCACUCGCACCUGUGCAGCAAAUGGAAUCUAUGGAGGACGCCUUAGGUUACAACAGAGUGUAUGCAACGAAAUCCUUCUCAAACAUGGCGGCAAAGUUACAGGAGUUAGAAUCAAGACUCGAGGACAUGAAAGCGCAGCUAAGGUUCGCUGAGCACUUUGGCUUUGAUUCGGAAAAUAUGAUGUUUUAGCUUUUAGGUCAGUAUUAGACUGUGGGUCAAAUUUUCAUGACAGCUUCUUUUAUAGGCCGCUUUUAUGUUAAACCUAAAUCUGUGUGUAGAAAGUAGAACAUACAGCAGCUCGGGUUUAACCAUGUUUCAAAGCAUAAUUUGAAGUGAUUUGAUUUUUUUUUCUGCCAAAUUUUACUUAGAUUGCACUGGAUUUUUAAUAAAGUAGUUUUUAGUUCAAACA